GAUCAUGGCUCAGGACGAACGCUGGCGGCGUGCCUAACACAUGCAAGUCGAACGGGGUUGUGAGAGCUUGCUUUCACAACCUAGUGGCGGACGGGCGAGUAACGCGUGAGCAACCUGCCUUUCAGAGGGGGACAACGGCUGGAAACGGCCGCUAAUACCGCAUAACACAGCGGGGUCACAUGGCCCUGGUGUCAAAGGAGCAAUCCGCUGAGAGAUGGGCUCGCGUCCGAUUAG
rnacentral:rRNA from 1 species